rnacentral:lncRNA from 1 species
CUGCUAUUAACAUGUGGGGGGGGAGUUAGAAUGUUAGCUGGAGCGGACCUGUGUGAAAACUGCUCCGCUGAGGUCUGGCGGAGAGCAGGUUGAUUCGGUGUCGUCCGGCUCUUCUUUAUAUAAAGCCCCAGUGAGCGGAAAAGCGAGCUCGGCAGUUACGAUGAGCAGGGACCGGUGGGGUCGCUUGGCAGCCGUCGGGGAGCGGCUGGCGGCUAUUGCCCGCAGCGCUGCGGCUGCGGGAGUGGAGCUGCGAGCCGCAUUGCGGGAAGAACUAGCGGCGGUAGCUACAGCGGCGGAGCCCCAAGGCGGCCAGGCGCUGCAGCCGGAGAAGAUUGGGGCGAGCUCGUCCCUGUUGGUUAGGCUGGCCCACAGAUCUGCUAAACAGGAAGAUGAUAAAAGCGAGUCCCAAGAGGAACUUGUCCCAGCAACCACUCCUGCACCCCAGCAAUGGGAGGAGGUGUUUGCCUUGGAGGAUCCCUCUACCAUCCAUCAGGACAUGAACCAAGAGAUGGGCAUGUUGGCACUAGAAACUAUUGUGAAAAACCAGGAGGCAAUGAGGUCGCUGAUGGCUGAGCUGGUGCAAAGCAUGGGUGCUGUGGAGCAGAGGAUCCGUAACAUAGAGCAAGAGAUGGGGCUGAUCACUAGAUUCACCCAGGAGCUAAAUGAAUUGGGUGAAGACAACUGGACUUGAAGGUGCUCAUGGCUUGUCCCGGGUCAGGUACAAAACUAACUGCCCUGUUCCACAUUUCACUGCAGCCCCCAUGGCCGUUGAUCUGGGGUAUAAUAGUUCUUUAUUGACUCUUCAGUCUGUGUGUGAGGGUUGAGAUUUUGUGACGCACCUAGAGAAGUUGUUAACCAUCCAACCCCCGUUUAGCUCUUAUAGGAAUGAGGCAGCUAAGAUGUAGAGUAAUUUUUGCAAAACCACUUACCUGAACAGAUUAAUUGGUUCUUUUUUAAGCCAUGUGCAGGUCUCAGAAAUGCUGAAAUCUCCAUUCUCUGCAUUGGUAGACCAAAAGCGCUAAGUUGUAGCACUUCAGAGUCAGUCACUUCUCCUUUUCCCUAGUUGUCAAGAUAUUGAUGGGUUCCCUGACAAAGCUUGUUGUCCCCAAAGCAAAACCAUUCCCUAACUGGGUAGAUUAUUCUUCCUCUCACAUUGGCAUCAACUGAUCUGGUCUCUUGGAAUGCUGCCUCUGUCUAAAUAGCCUGAUGCACAAUGAAGAAACAACGGGCUGCAUUAAAGAACAAAUAUAUUUGUCUCAUGAACUUCUGCAGAUUGUGGUUGUAGUUAUAAUAAAGCAAGAUUUUGUUCUAUCA